GACGGAGGAUGCAAGCGUUAUCCGGAAUGAUUGGGCGUAAAGCGUCCGCAGGUGGCAGUUCAAGUCUGCUGUCAAAGACCGGGGCUUAACUUCGGAAAGGCAGUGGAAACUGAACAGCUAGAGUAUGGUAGGGGCAGAGGGAAUUCCUGGUGUAGCGGUGAAAUGCGUAGAUAUCUGGAGGAACACCGGUGGCGAAGGCGGCAUCCUGGACCGGCAUUGACGCUGAGGAGCGAAAGCCAGGGGAGCAAACGGG
rnacentral:rRNA from 1 species